GACGAACGCUGGCGGCGUGCUUAACACAUGCAAGUCGAGCGGAAAGGCCCUUCGGGGUACUCGAGCGGCGAACGGGUGAGUAACACGUGAGCAACCUGCCCUUGGCUUUGGGAUAAGCCCCGGAAACGGGGUCUAAUACCGGAUAUCCACUUGCUGUCGCAUGGUGGUUGGUGGAAAGUUUUUCGGCCAGGGAUGGGCUCGCGGCCUAUCAGCUUGUUGGUGGGGUGAUGGCCUACCAAGGCGACGACGGGUAGCCGGCCUGAGAGGGCGACCGGCCACACUGGGACUGAGACACGGCCCAGACUCCUACGGGAGGCAGCAGUGGGGAAUAUUGCACAAUGGGCGAAAGCCUGAUGCAGCGACGCCGCGUGAGGGAUGACGGCCUUCGGGUUGUAAACCUCUUUCAGCAGGGACGAAGCGAGAGUGACGGUACCUGCAGAAGAAGCGCCGGCCAACUACGUGCCAGCAGCCGCGGUAAGACGUAGGGCGCGAGCGUUGUCCGGAUUUAUUGGGCGUAAAGAGCUCGUAGGCGGCUUGUCGCGUCGACUGUGAAAACCCGUGGCUCAACCAUGUGGUCUGCAGUCGAUACGGGCAGGCUAGAAUUCGGUAGGGGAGACUGGAAUUCCUGGUGUAGCGGUGAAAUGCGCAGAUAUCAGGAGGAACACCGGUGGCGAAGGCGGGUCUCUGGGCCGAUAUUGACGCUGAGGAGCGAAAGCGUGGGGAGCGAACAGGAUUAGAUACCCUGGUAGUCCACGCUGUAAACGUUGGGCGCUAGGUGUGG
rnacentral:rRNA from 1 species